rnacentral:misc_RNA from 1 species
UAAGAGGCACGCAAGGCCAGCAGGU